rnacentral:snRNA from 1 species
GUGCAUGUUUUGGCAGCACAUAUACUAAAAUUGGAAUGAUACAGGGAAGAUUAGCACGGCCUCUGUGCAAGGAUGACAUGCAAAUUCGUGAAGCAUUCCAUAUUCUU